CGGAUCGGAGUCUGCAACCCGAACUCCGUGAAGCUGGAUUCGCUAGUAAUCGCGCAUCAGCCAUGGCGCGGUGAAUACGUUCCCGGGCCUUGUACACACCGCCCGUCAAGCCAUGGGAGCCGGGAGCGCUUGAAGUGCGUCGCCGCGAGGCGCGCCCUAGAGCGAGACCGGUGACUGGGGCUAAGUCGUAACAAGGUAAC
rnacentral:rRNA from 1 species